rnacentral:misc_RNA from 1 species
GUUUGCUGAUUGUAAUUUUUUGUGUAAUUUUUGUGUAAUGUCUUUAUUGUUAUGCAUGUGGUGUUUACCUACAGCUAUUUACAUUAAUAUAACUUAAAAUUAAUUACAAAUAUUACAAAAUUAAAUGCAAUAACUAAUUAAAGGUAAACACCACAUGCAUAACAAUAAAGACAUUACACAAAAAUUACACAAAAAAUUACAAUCAGCAAAC